rnacentral:rRNA from 1 species
UACGUAGGGGGCAAGCGUUGUCCGGAAUCAUUGGGCGUAAAGAGCGUGUAGGCGGCCCGGUAAGUCCGUUGUGAAAGUCGAGGGCUCAACCCUCGAAUGCCGGCGGAUACUGUCGGGCUAGAGUCCGGAAGAGGCGAGUGGAAUUCCUGGUGUAGCGGUGAAAUGCGCAGAUAUCAGGAGGAACACCAAUGGCGAAGGCAGCUCGCUGGGACGGUACUGACGCUGAGACGCGAAAGCGUGGGGAGCAAACAGG